GCCUGGGUAGCUCAAUGGUAGAGCAUGCGCCUGAAAAGCGCAGGGUUGUGGGUUCGAUUCCCUCCCUAGGCA
rnacentral:tRNA from 1 species